AGACUAUACUAAGAUACAUAAUUUUGUGCAUCAGUUUUUGAUAAGUACAAACCAGUAGCGCUACAGUCUCGACAGAGACUUCUGGUUAUUUUUUCUUCCAUCCCGGUUGUUGCUAAUGCUAUUACAUAAUUAGUUUAAAUUAGAAUGCAAUAGUACCUGGACAUAAUUUAUCAUUUCAGAGAGAAGAAAACUAUGUGACUUUAAAAGAAAACCAGUGAGAUAAAAUCAUAGAAAAUGUAUGAUGAUUCAGGAUGUGGUCAUUUGGUCCUGUUAUGUGGAUGCCCUAAGACAGUGUCUACCCAUCACUCCAUCUGAUAUCACUUGUUCUGUGCAUAUUUCUCUCUCAAACUUAAACUACAGAGAGCCUGUGGAUAGAGGAUGAAGAGUGACCUUGGACUAAUUUUCUAGGUCAAAGAUCAUAGGUGAUGUGAAGAAAACCAGGAAACUAAUGUUGAAAGAAGUACUUAAUGACCCUUAUGAAUGGAC